rnacentral:tRNA from 1 species
UCCCUGGUGGCUCAGAGGUUAAAGCGUCUGCCUGCAAUGCAGGAGACCCAGGUUCGAUCCCUGGGUCGGGAA